UGAAGUCAAAAGCAUUCCUUCGUCGUCACAAUGAAACAUAAUUUCAAUCCUAAAAUGUAAAUUCUCAAGUUUUAAUUUAAUUAAAAAACCGAAAGUGGAUUUGAAUGGUAGAUACUACCAAAAUCAAACAAUUCAGCUGUAGGUAUGUUUCCAAUCGACUAAGGCCUCAAAAAUCAUCAUGAAGCAUUCAUUUUCUCCAGAAAGCUUUAAGGGGAUCUAGGAGUUAUCAUGCGCAGAGAAGAUGAAAAUUCAUUGCAGCUUUUUCACCAAUGAACAAGCCAUACGCAUCGACCAAGGACUCACCGAGAGACUACCUUACACCAAUUUCCUAAAUCAGUCACUGAACGACCGACGGUUCACUUGCAGUGUAAGGCAAUACGUUUCACUCAUAAAAUUUGAAAAACUUAAUCCGCCCGGCCCCAUCCUUAUCUCUACCAUCGAAUAUUUUCUAUAUGUGUUUCCUGGGAGAAAAAAAAAAUAAUUGAAAAUAUUCAAACACAAGAAUCUCAUUCUCAAAGGAUUAAUUCUGUGUGAAUAUAAGAAGAAGUGCUUUAGCUGGUCUGCUCUCUGUGCGAUGAUAAGUUUUGGCAUUCCAAGGAUUGUGUAUAGUUUGGUUAUUUUGUUGUUUGUGUUUAAUAGUGUGUGAAUUGUCCUCGAAAAAAAGGACAAAAGAGCAAAAUAAAAAGAAAAAAAUGUAGAAUAUUUUACUAAACGAGUUUUGAAAUUGAGUUUUUGCCUCCAUGGCUGUACGAGUGUAUUUUUAAAAGGAUUCGUUUGUCCAACACCCACUUUAUUCCCCUUAUAUGUUGGUAUGAACGGUAUACUAUCGCACUGAUACAGUUGACCCGGCGUUAAGUCAUGUGUGGCGACGUCAGUGGUAGUGAAAUUACGCUCUAAAUUAUUCACCGUGAAAAAAGGAUUUCAUUUUUGUGGUUUGGCGAGUCUGUUUGGAUUUUCUUUUUUAUUUAUUUUUCCGUUCUCGUUCGCUCUGCAUUUAUACUUUUACCAGCAAAAAUUGCACAAGGAUAAUAAAAGAAAAGCAGCAAAAAAGUUUCUUCUAAUGAUACAGUAUACAUUAUAUGUGUGGAUAUUUAUUGUUCUUGUUAAGGAUACCUUACCUGGUAUACACCAACCUUUCGUGUGUAUGCCGAUGACAGCCAUGAGUGAAUAAAUAAAUACUGGAUUUUCACAUCCCAUCCAAGUAACAUCAACAACAACACGACAGCGAAAUUGUUGUUUACUUAUAAAAUAAGAAAAAGUGUCCUGUUUGUGUUGUUCUAUGUUUCAUGUGUUGUAUAUGUGUGUGGUGUAUACGGAGAAUAGAUUGAUUGCAGUGGCAAUGUGAUAUGAAUAAUUUAUUGCCACCAGGAUGUGCGAAUGUGAAUGUCUUUUAAAUAUGCCACACGCAUACCCGACUUAAUGGGAUUGCUUAGCAGAAAUCGGAAAAAGGAUACCUGUCCAAAUGCCAAGUGAAUUAUGCGAGUUUUUGUAUCUUUUAUGUGAUUUAUCAAUGAUUAAAGCUCGGUUUGGUGGCUAAACGCUGUGAGGUUUAUGUAUGAAAUUUUCUUCUUUGGCCCACCAUCACUCACCAUAUUUUUCUCUGGCUAGGAAUAAUGAAUGAUAAAUUGCGUGUGAUUAGUUUUAUCGCCAGCAUUGUUGAGAAAAUAAGUGUCAAGCCUUCAAAAGUAAACGUUUUUUGUGGAAAAAAUUGAAUAAUAUAAAGUUAAGGAGUGGAUAAAUAUUUAACUCUGGAUAUAAAUGAAUAUAAGAUAGAUAAAUUCAACUGGAUUUAUUUAACAAAAAUUUGGCACGAGCAAAAGUGUGACAAGGGUGGUAUCAUCAUUUGUGAGCAUUCAGGCAAAGGACCAUAGAUAAAUCAGCUAUUCGAUAGUGCUGUUUUUU